UCGGGAAUUUUGGGCAAUGGGGGAAACCCUGACCCAGCAACGCCGCGUGAAGGAUGAAGUAUUUCGGUAUGUAAACUUCGAAAGAAUAGGAAGAAUAAAUGACGGUACUAUUUAUAAGGUCCGGCUAACUACGUGCCAGCAGCCGCGGUAAUACGUAGGGACCAAGCGUUGUUCGGAUUUACUGGGCGUAAAGGGCGCGUAGGCGGCAAUUCAAGUCAUCUGUGAAAUCUCCGGGCUUAACUCGGAACGGUCAGAUGAUACUGCUUUGCUAGAGUGCAGAAGGGGCAAUCGGAAUUCUUGGUGUAGCGGUGAAAUGCGUAGAUAUCAAGAGGAACACCUGAGGUGAAGACGGGUUGCUGGGCUGACACUGACGCUGAGGCGCGAAAGCCAGGGGAGCAAACGGGAUU
rnacentral:rRNA from 1 species